rnacentral:rRNA from 1 species
GAUGAACGCUAGCGGCAGGCUUAACACAUGCAAGUCGAGGGGCAGCAUGACACGGAGAUUCGUCGAAGUGUUGAUGGCGACCGGCGCAAGGGUGCGUAACGCGUGAGCAACUUGCCCGUUUCUGGGGAAUAACCGGUGGAAACGCCGACUAAUACCCCAUAGUAUAACGAAGAGGCAUCUUUUUGUUAUUAAAGAAUUUCGGAAACGGAUAGGCUCGCGUGACAUUAGCUAGAUGGCGGGGUAACGGCCACCAUGGCGACGAUGUCUAGGGGUUCUGAGAGGAAGGUCCCCCACACUGGAACUGAGACACGGUCCAGACUCCUACGGGAGGCAGCAGUGAGGAAUAUUGCACAAUGGGCGAAAGCCUGAUGCAGCGACGCCGCGUGAGUGAUGAAGUAUUUCGGUAUGUAAAGCUCUAUCAGCAGGGAAGAAAAUGACGGUACCUGACUAAGAAGCACCGGCUAAAAUACGUG